rnacentral:lncRNA from 1 species
GACGGCCGCUAGGAAAUCACUCAUGUCCCACAUGGCACAAGGACUCUCCUCUUCUUGAGACAAGACUCACUCUGUAACCCAAGAUGGUCUGAAACUUACUGUGUAGUUCAGGUUGGCCACAAGCCCACAGCAGUCCUCCUGCUCCAGCUAGCUACUCAAGGAUUAGAAUUACAGGGAUGGAGUACUUAUCCCCUUCUUUCAGAAGCUCUGGCUUGCUCUGAUGUCAACUUCAGGACCAAUUCUCUAUGACUUCCUGAUUCAAGAGCCCCAAGAUGCCUGGGUGUGCCUCAGCCCAUCUCUGUGUUCUGAUCCCAAAUUCUCAAGACAGAUCACUGGAUCCAUGUCUAUCAGGACAAUGACAUCUGAUUGGUGGGUCGGUGCCUGUAGCUCAAGUGGGGGAGGUGGGGACAUACGCUGGAGCAGACAUCAGUUUCCCAGGAGUGGAGAGAAGACAUAUUGAAGGAAAUCAGGAUCGUGUCAGCACAGG